rnacentral:tRNA from 1 species
GGCGACAUGGCCAAGCGGUAAGGCACUGGUUUGCAAAACCAUGAUCCCCCAGUUCGAAUCUGGGUGUCGCCUCCA